rnacentral:rRNA from 1 species
GACGAACGCUGGCGGCGUGCCUAAUACAUGCAAGUCGAGCGGACGGAUGGGAGCUUGCUCCCAGACCGUCAGCGGCGGACGGGUGAGUAACACGUGGGCAACCUGCCUGUAAGACUGGGAUAACUCCGGGAAACCGGGGCUAAUACCGGAUAACUCUUUCCCUCACAUGGGGGAAAGCUGAAAGAUGGCAUCUCGCUAUCACUUACAGAUGGGCCCGCGGCGCAUUAGCUAGUUGGUGAGGUAACGGCUCACCAAGGCGACGAUGCGUAGCCGACCUGAGAGGGUGAUCGGCCACACUGGGACUGAGACACGGCCCAGACUCCUACGGGAGGCAGCAGUAGGGAAUCUUCCGCAAUGGACGAAAGUCUGACGGAGCAACGCCGCGUGAGUGAUGAAGGUUUUCGGAUCGUAAAACUCUGUUGUCAGGGAAGAACAAGUACCGGAGUAACUGCCGGUACCUUGACGGUACCUGACCAGAAAGCCACGGCUAACUACGUG